rnacentral:rRNA from 1 species
AUUGAACGCUGACGGCAUGCUUAACACAUGCAAGUCGAACGGCAGCACGGGCUUCGGCCUGGUGGCGAGUGGCGGACGGGUGAGUAAUGCUUGGGAAUCUGCCUAGUGGUGGGGGAUAACUCUCCGAAAGGGGAGCUAAUACCGCAUAAGUUCUACGGAAGAAAGCGGGGGAUCUUCGGACCUCGCGCCAUUGGAUGAGCCCAAGUCCGAGUAGCUAGUUGGCGGGGUAAAGGCCCACCAAGGCGACGAUCGGUAGCGGGUCUGAGAGGACGGUCAGCCGCACUGGGACUGAGGCACGGCCCAGACACCUGCGGGAGGCAGCAGUGGGGAAUAUUGGACAAUGGGCGCAAGCCUGAUCCUGCAAUGCCGCGUGUGUGAAGAAGGCCUGCGGGUUGUAAAGCGCUUUAAGCAGGAAAGAAGGAGCGGGAGUUAAUACCUUUCGUCAUUGGCGUUACCUGCAGAAUAAGCACCGGCUAACUCCGUGCCAGCCGCCGCCGUAAAAC